rnacentral:tRNA from 1 species
AAAGGUUUAGUUUAACUUAAAACACAAGCUUGUCAAGCUUGAAAAAUCAUUUGAUAAUCUUUU